rnacentral:rRNA from 1 species
CAGUAUUCUGGCGGGCAUGCCUGUCCGAGCGUCAUUU